UCCCUGGUAGUAUAUCGGUUUAGUACACGCGCCUGUCAUGUGUACAGUAUUUGGUCAUCGUCAUGGAUGACGUGUAUCAUUAUGCGCGCGAAAGCUGGGUUCGACUCCCAGCCAGGGAG